AGAGUUUGAUCCUGGCUCAGGAUGAACGCUAGCGGCAGGCUUAACACAUGCAAGUCGAGGGGCAGCGUGGAGCAGCAAUGCUCUGACGGCGACCGGCGGAAGGGUGCGUAACACGUGAGCGACUUGCCCGUCACAGGGGGAUAACCGGCGGAAACGGCGACUAAUACCCCAUAUGCUGCGAUGCUGCAUGGCAUUGCAAUGAAAGAUUCAUCGGUGGCGGAUAGGCUCGCGGGACAUUAGCUAGACGGCGGGGCAACGGCCCACCGUGGCGACGAUGUCUAGGGGUUCUGAGAGGAAGACCCCCCACACUGGGACUGAGACACGGCCCAGACUCCUACGGGAGGCAGCAGUGAGGAAUAUUGGUCAAUGGGCGGAAGCCUGAACCAGCCAUGCCGCGUGAAGGACUAAGGCCCUACGGGUCGUAAACUUCUUUAGACGCAGAGCAAUAAGGUCCACGCGUGGACCGAUGAGAGUAUGCGUAGAAUAAGCAUCGGCUAACUCCGUGCCAGCAGCCGCGGUAAUACGGGGGAUGCGAGCGUUAUCCGGAUUCAUUGGGUUUAAAGGGUGCGUAGGCUGUGCGUCAAGUCAGGGGUGAAAUUCCGGGGCUCAACUCCGGGGCUGCCCUUGAUACUGUCGCGCUGGAGUGCGGAUGCCGCCGGAGGAAUGAGUGGUGUAGCGGUGAAAUGCUUAGAUAUCACUCAGAACACCGAUUGCGAAGGCAUCUGGCGAAUCCGUAACUGACGCUGAGGCACGAAAGCGUGGGGAUAGAACAGGAUUAGAUACCCUGGUAUUCCACGCCGUAAACGAUGAUGGCUAACCGCCGGCGACACACUGUCGGUGGCCAAGCGAAAGCGAUAAGCCAUCCACCUGGGGAGUACGUCGGCAACGAUGAAACUCAAAGGAAUUGACGGGGGCCCGCACAAGCGGAGGAACAUGUG
rnacentral:rRNA from 1 species